rnacentral:rRNA from 1 species
CUAUGUGUUGUUGGGUAGGGGAGCGUUCUGUAAGCCUGUGAAGGUGGCCUGUGAGGGUUGCUGGAGGUAUCAGAAGUGCGAAUGCUGACAUAAGUAACGAUAAAGCGGGUGAAAAGCCCGCUCGCCGGAAGACCAAGGGUUCCUGUCCAACGUUAAUCGGGGCAGGGUGAGUCGACCCCUAAGGCGAGGCCGAAAGGCGUAGUCGAUGGGAAACAGGUUAAUAUUCCUGUACUUGGUGUUACUGCGAAGGGGGGACGGAGAAGGCUAUGUUGGCCGGGCGACGGUUGUC